UGGAGCCAAUUGAAAUAUCCAGUGUUUUUAAUGAGAGCUGAUGCAUCCCCAAACGGAGAUUGUAAGGUGUUGCUGUUUUCCUGGAUGGAAACUCUUCCGUCGUAGCAUCCAGUUGGGACUUGCUAUGGCAAGAGUGUCAGCGCAGGAGACAACACCAGGACAAAAAUGAAGCUCUUGGCGGACAUGAGGCUUGGAAGGGACAACUUUUACACUUUACUUCCAUCAGUCGAGAAGAACCGAUCCAUCACAGUCCUGAAGAACAGCAAAGUUAGAAGACAAGAAUUUAAAUCUUGCAAAGCUACUCCUGUCGAUGAAACAGUUGUGGAAGUGCAAGCAAAGAACUCCUGCUGGUAUCGUCCUGUCCCAAUCGGUGUGCUUGCUCACAGUGUCCCUGAUGAUUCUCUUGGCUUGAGGACAGGAUCUCGAGUAACUGUGGUAGCCAUUCUUGUAUCCUCCACUCUCAUCAUGAUCCAAAACACUAGCUCAGAGACAGCAGAAGCAAAACCAAAAUGUUCCCUCUCCAACUUCCCAUCCUCAGGUAUUGCAGCUUGGCAUGUCUUCUUCCUCCUCGAAUUUUCUUGGCAGUAAUCGAUGAUCUGAAGAUGAGAGUCGUUCCGUGAUGAAGUGGGUCACUGAUACAAGGCUCUUAUAGUCCAGGUUAAGCCGUCACAAACCGUGUCUGCUGCCUCUAAUGAGUGUUUCCAUGCUUAAGAAAUCCUUUGACAUCA